rnacentral:pre_miRNA from 1 species
AAAUUACUCCCUCCAUCCCAAAAUUCUUGUCUUGGAUUUGUCUAGAUACAGAUGUAUCAAGUCACAUUUUAUUAUUAGAUACAUCCGUAUCUAGACAAAUUUAAGACAAGAAAUUUGGGACAGAGGGAGUAGUUG